AUUGAACGCUGGCGACAGGCCUAACACAUGCAAGUCGAACGAGUGGCGGACGGGUGAGUAAUGUCUGGGAAACUGCCUGAUGGAGGGGGAUAACUACUGGAAACGGUAACUAAUACCGCAUACCAUCGGAUGUGCCCAGAUGGGAUUAGCUAGUAGGUGGGGUAAAGGCUCACCUAGGCGACGAUCCCUCGCUGGUCUGAGAGGAUGACCAGCCACACUGCAACAGAGACACGGUCCAGAUUCUUACGGGAGGUAGCAGUGGGGAAUAAUGCCCAACUGGCGCAAGCCGGAUGCAGCCAUGCCGCGUGUAUGAAGAAGGCCUUCGGGUUGUAAAGUACUUUCAGCGGGGAGGCGUUACCCGCAGAAGAAGCACCGGCUAACUCCGUGCCAGCCGCCGCGGUAAUUC
rnacentral:rRNA from 1 species